AUUUACACGUUGCUCAGUUGCUUGCAUCCUAAUUUUUAAAGUUAAAGUUGGCCAAAUCUGCUUCAAUACAGAUGUUAUCAUACGUUGUUCCCUGUGGCUGGGUGUGCAGCAAGCAUCAGCUGAGUACUGUGGAGAACAAGAGCUUUCAGGUCACGGAUUACAAACCAGAAACAUGUGCAACACAUUCUACACAGUGUGACCGCCAUCUUCUUCGACUGUUGACCUUAUUCGGACAGACGGCGUAUAAAACUGUGAAGACAGCAGAUGAACAGAUGGAUUACAGCUCCAUUCACACCAGGCUUUUCAUGCGGCAGAUUGCCUUGGCCUGGACAUCACAGUCUGCCCACGAGUCUCAUCCAGAACAGGAAAUGAUGGUACCACAGCCGCC
rnacentral:lncRNA from 1 species